rnacentral:rRNA from 1 species
CAGCAGCCGCGGGAAUACGUAGGUAGCAAGCGUUGUCCGGAAUUAUUGGGCGUAAAGGGCUCGCAGGCGGUUUCUUAAGUCUGAUGUGAAAGCCCCCGGCUCAACCGGGGAGGGUCAUUGGAAACUGGGAAACUUGAGUGCAGAAGAGGAGAGUGGAAUUCCACGUGUAGCGGUGAAAUGCGUAGAGAUGUGGAGGAACACCAGUGGCGAAGGCGACUCUCUGGUCUGUAACUGACGCUGAGGAGCGAAAGCGUGGGGAGCGAACAGGAUUAGAUACCCCUGUAGUCCCUGUCUCUUAUAC